CAACCAUAGAACUGCAUCCAAAACUAUUGGGCUAGAGUGUGGGAGAGGAAGAUGGAAUUAGUUGUGUAGGGGUAAAAUCCGUAGAGAUAACUAGGAAUACCAAAAGCGAAGGCAAUCUUCUGGAACAUUACUGACGCUGAGGCGCGAAAGCGUGGGGAGCAAACAGGAUUAGAUACCCUGGUAGUCCACGCCCUAAACGAUGAAUGUUAGUCGUCGGUUAGCUAGUCUAAUCGGUGAUGCAGCUAACGCAUUAAACAUUCCGCCUGGGGAGUACGGUCGCAAGAUUAAAACUCAAAGGAAUAGACGGGGACCCGCACAAGUGGUGGAGCAUGUGGUUUAAUUCGAAGAUACGCGAAGAACCUUACCUAGCCUUGACAUAUAUUAGAACACUUUAGAGAUAGAGUGGUGCCUUCGGGAGCUUUUAUACAGGUGCUGCACGGCUGUCGUCAGCUCGUGUCGUGAGAUGUUGGGUUAAGUCCCGCAACGAGCGCAACCCUCGUCACUAGUUACUAACGGUUCGGCCGAGGACUCUAGUGAGACUGCCUUCGCAAGGAGGAGGAAGGUGAGGACGACGUCAAGUCAUCAUGGCCCUUACGGCUAGGGCAACACACGUGCUACAAUGGCCAGGACAAUGAGAAGCGAUACUGCGAGGUGGAGCAAAUCUAUAAACCUGGUCUCAGUUCGGAUUGUAGUCUGCAACUCGACUACAUGAAGCUGGAAUCACUAGUAAUCGUAGAUCAGCUAUGCUACGGUGAAUACGUUCCCGGGUCUUGUACUCACCGCCCGUCACACCAUGGGAGUUGAUUUCACCCGAAGCGGGGAAGCUAAACUGGCUACCCUCCACGGUGGAAUCAGCGACUGGGGUGAAGUCGUAACAAGGUA
rnacentral:rRNA from 1 species